AGAAAACAAAGUAGAAAAAUGUUUUUCUUCUUUGUGGGAGGAGUAGAUCAGAAGGUUGGUCAAGUCCUUAAAACCGGAGUUAGCCGGUGCAUCAACUGUAAUUCGAAAGCUGAUCUAGUCAAAUACGACAACGUUUUGAAGAAUCUCUCUCCAAAACGACGUCGUCAUCUUUGCCUUCUCAUAAUGAUGUUCUGCGUUGCCACUCUUGUGCUCGCCUUGUUGAUGCUGAUUACCGCUUUUGCCCCUUUUGUGGUGUUUCUUUGUAAUAAACUUUAGCUUUUUUUAAUGGGAUUUUAGGGUUCUUGUUUGUGUUU